GUGAUGACUUGGUCGAACAUCCACUAAUAUAUGUGCGUCUCCUUUCCUCACUUUCUCAUUGUACUCUUUGGUGCUAAUUCGAUCAUCUGCUGAAAGAAAGUUCAACUUCAAUGGAACCGUGGAUAAUGGAGUUUGAGUAAACUUUUCAUAAUCAAACUCCGAAAAUGUCUGCCUUGUCAGUACUGCAUCAUCUCCACAAGCUUCGCACUGCAAUGACCUUCCACGUAGUUUGACAUUACGGAACCGGC
rnacentral:misc_RNA from 1 species